rnacentral:rRNA from 1 species
GACGAACGCUGGCGGCGUGCUUAACACAUGCAAGUCGAACGGCAAGGCCGUGCUUUUGUAGGCUGCUCAAGUAGCGAACGGGUGAGUCCCAUGUGAUUAACCUACCCUCGACUUAGGGAUAACUUCAGGAAACUGGGCCUAAUACCGGAUAGGAGCUCCGGCUGCAUGGUGGGGGUUGGGAAGUUUCGGGUGGUGGGGGUGGACUCGCGGCUAAUCAGCUUGUUGGUGGGGUAGUGGCUUACCAAGGCUUUGACGGGUAGCCGGCCUGAGAGGGUGACCGGCGACAUUGGGACUGAGAUGCGGCACAGCCUCAUACGGGAGGCGGAAGUGGGGAGGAGUGCACUAUGGGCUGAAGCCUGAUGCAGCCACGCCGCGUGGGGGAUGACGGCCAUCGGGUUGUAAACCGCAUCCGCUUGUGAUGAAGAGUGAGUGACGGUAAUGGGUAAAGAAGCACCGGCUAACUACGUG